UACAGAGGGUGCGAGCGUUGUCCGGAAUCACUGGGCGUAAAGGGCGCGUAGGCGGCGUGUCAAGUCGAUUGUGAAAUCUCCGGGCUUAACUCGGAACGGCCAAUCGAUACUGACGUGCUAGAGUGCAGAAAGGGCAAUCGGAAUUCUUGGUGUAGCGGUGAAAUGCGUAGAUAUCAAGAGGAACACCUGAGGCGAAGGCGGGUUGCUAGGCUGACACUGACGCUGAGUGCGCGAAAGCCAGGGGAGCAAACGGG
rnacentral:rRNA from 1 species